rnacentral:lncRNA from 1 species
UAACUUCAUUCAAACGAAGAUACAGUAGAUAAAUAAAUGUAACAAACAGUUAUGUUAUAUACAGAUAAGAAACAAAUGAAAAGGGAUAAAUAUUUCUUCAUAUUAAAUCAUGAGAUAUUGUCCGCAAUCUAACACUCUUGUCAGUCUGGUAUACAAAUAGAAGUCCUCAUAUUUCAGACCAAACCCAUCCUAAUUCGACAUCAUAUAAGUCCAACUAUCUGAUUUUCAACUUCAAAAUCACAAAUAUGUAAAGUGUAUUGAUUCAAAGUGCAGUGUACAAUAUGAUUGUAUUCUGAUGACAAUUCAACAAAACAGGACCUUUUAAAGAAAAGAAAUGUGAAUCAGCUAGCGCUAAAUUAAAAAUCCAUCUUUUAUCUCGAUCAACAAAUGAUAAAAACACACAUAAAAAACAGAAGGAAACAUAUUUUAUCGAAAAUUAGUAGAAUACUUUAAGUUUUGUGAUGGAAAUUGUCGGAAAAUCCUCUUCGUCGGUUUACAAUUGAAUACCACCGAAAACCUUGUCUGUAAUCUCUAAUGUUUAUGAAUAUCUGAUUUAGAAAUUAAAAUACUCCGCCAUUACAUUUUAGUGAGGAGAAAGAGAAAUGUACUUGAUGGUAAGAGUCUAGGCUUUAUUUUAACCACUGGCAGAUGGAAACCAUUCAGGGUGGGGUUUUAGGCACAAUAAAAUUUAGAAUGGAAAUGAGGCAUGUGUCACAGAGACAACAACCCGACCAGAGAGCAGACAACAGACGAAAGCCAC